rnacentral:lncRNA from 1 species
AUUGAUUUUAUAUUAUCAAAUACACGUUUGAUGUUUCUCCACUGUGUUAGGCUUGAGGAUUUCAUUUGCCUCCAAACAGUUGUCAGCUGGCCAACUUCAUUGUUGGUGGCAACACUGUGAUUCUACUUAUAUAUCCUUGCAUCCUGCAAUGGGAAAGAUCACAAAAACUCAUUUGUGAUGGACCAGAGUCAGAGGAAUAUGCUUCUUUGUUUCAUUUUGUUUGGUUUACAUUUCUAUUCAGUAAGAAACAGGCCAAAUUAUGCUUUGCUUACAUAAGAAAACCUAAAUUAACUGUUAAUGUUUUUCUCUAAUAAUUUAUUUCAAGGAUGCUAUUCACUUCUUACAAAUCGGCAUGCCAGGCUGCUGCUCAGGUGAUCUGCCUCUUGGACCAGCUCUGAAGAUGGGAAAAUGAUCAGUGCAAGAUCCCUGAGAUGCUGAGACACGAUGGGAUGGAGGAAAGCUGUGGGACAAGUGGCCUUUCAUAGGAGGAGGAGCUCCUUGUCAAAUGUGAGGAGCGAAGCAGGACAGGAGCAUGAGAACAGUUACACAACUGUGGGCAAAACUUUGAAAAUGAAACACAGAAUCCUGGGAUUCCCUUGCUGUGGGCAAGUACGCACACUGUGAGUGGAUGUGAGGAUGUCUUCUGAAGGGAGGAGAAAUCUCCUCUGUCAACUUUCUAUCUAGGGCAGAAAAUAAGCCAUAGCAGCUUGAUCCUAUCUUUAUAAAAGAAAACAUUUCUUUUUUCUUGGGACUGAGAUGAGUUUGGAGGCCUCAGUAAUGGCUAAAAGACAAGGUCAGUCCUUCAGUGCAUACAGGUUAGGUGGGCCCUUCGUGACAAAAUGCAGGAAGCCUAAGAAAUGAGACAGCCUGUGAAAAACCCUAGGAGGAGCUCCUAGGAGAUAUCCUCUCUAGAAGCUAGUUUUUAAUGUUCUCUUUUUGCAUUUUAAUUGUCUCCUCUUAUGCCCAGUACUACAACAAUCCUUUGGUAAACAUUGUUGCAUGGUCUUAGCUGGUACUUCAAGGAAUUACCAAUGCCCAUAUGAGAAAAUCUAAUGUCCAUACCUAAGGAGGAAGCAAGUUAUGAGAUAGUAAAAGAUGAAUGACUGGAAGAAAAGAAAUCCCAGUCCAGAGCAAAAAAGCUGGCUGGGGAUUCC